ACUAGGCAGCCCAGGUGACCUCCAUUUAGGCAGGUGACUCCUACCCCCAUUUCACUCAGGCAGCUGCAGUUAAGAAGUGCCACUCCGAAAGUGAGUAGCAUCGAUAGUGGUACUGACUCUGCCUGCCCUCUUGUAACUGAGGCCCCUUGAAAGGUUAUUUUGGGGCACCCAGGAACAGCUUAAAUUUGCUCCUCCUGGUCUAUAGCAGCUUCCCCUGGCUGGCACUGAGGCCUGUCUGCUGCUGCUAUUGGAAAUGCAGUUUGCAUCUCACCACAUCAAUAAAGUUAUCCAGAUUUGCUGUUUGUAAACUGCAGAGUACCUGACACCAGCCUACCCCUAAGAGGACAGAGGCCCUCAGAGCAGGAAGUGUCAGGGUUCGCCUGCAUCAUUUGCUAUGACAGCCAAACAGCCCUUUUCAAGACCAGACUUGCUUAUUCGGGAAGGAGGAAAACGUCCAUUGUGGUUUCCAGUUUGGUGAUCUCUGAAGCACAUAUGCAUAAUCAAGCAUGCCCAGAAUGCCAGAAAAAUAGUAACUGAGACAAGCAGUGGCUACCCCAGCGAGCCUGUGGAUAGAACAGUAUGUAUAAGGUUCAGUUACUAGAACCAGGCCAACCUGUAACAGCAUUUCAAAUAGCUGGUUGUUCUCCUUACCAUUUCAAAUUUCUCUAACUUCCUUCUUUCACGUGCUCUAUCACAGUUCUCUCUCAGGCCUGCACAAGCCCUCUCUGUCCUUCCCAGAGGGUGAUGCCCUUGCUUCUCCAGGGUUUUGUCUUGCUGGCAAGGUACAUGCUGGGCCUCCCCAGACACGUGCUCUGAAUCAAGAGCCACAGAACUGAAGAGGCUGAAAUUCAGCAAGCCUGUUAUAAACUGGGAAAAUGGAGGGGGGAGCUGUUCUUUGGCGACGUGAUUUUGAACAUGGAAAAGGAAAGUUGAGAUUUGUUUAAAGGUUUCAAGGAGGGAAUUGUUGAUGAAUUAUGAUAAUAAUGGGAAACAAAUCUUGGCCAUUUGGGGUACAUAUGGGAUGUGUGCAAUAAAUAAAGGAAAAUGAAUGCUUGUGAUCA
rnacentral:lncRNA from 1 species